GUGUGGAUUUUUCAAGUGGUGUGAUCAGAGAGCAAGCUACUUAACUGAGGUAAAACUAGUUAGCACGUAAUGAACAUCUAAGAUUUUCUUUUGAGAAGUUGAGAACAUCGAAAGACUUUCUUUCGAGAAGUUGAUAAUUUUUGAUGUAGUGCUUUCCAUUAGAGUUUUUGUUUAGACUUGUACUGAGCCCUUUAGUAUUUUUUGCACGGUGGAGCAGAAGAAAUGCACUUUGUGGCGGAUUUACUGCCAACGCCUUUUUCGAGAAAACAUGAAAAUUGUGAGGGUCGACCAAACCCCCAACUAGCAACCGUUCAGGCUGGAAAUUGCGAGGAACCAACCCCCACACCUAGCAGCCCUGUCCCAGACAGGGAAAUGAUUUGUGUGGCGCUUUCAAUCGAUCCUGCACGAAAAGUACACCUGUCUUACAGUGUGAAGGAACAAGGUUUUUAUGGAGUACACCAGCAGCUCAUCAAUCCUACAGUCAUCUGAAUCUGACCUGGACUCAAAUGUAACUUUACCUGCUACAUCAGUUGAUCCCAAGGCUGAGAACAGACAACUAUUAGAACCUUCCACGUCUAAUUACCAAAGACCUGUCCACCAAAAACAACCUAGGAGUCUCUCCAGGUACAUCCUGCCUCGACUCGUCUUCAUCCACCUAGAGAGCACCAAAGAAAAUUAAGAAGAAAAAUUUAACCUUCUGGAUCAGUGCAGAAAAGAGGGAAGAGAGACAUGCAAUGCUCACUUUGAGUUCGAUGACGAUGUGGCAAGAUUUUGUCACACCUUCGGUCAACUGAUCCGUGAACAGCCACAACAUAAAAGGUCUAGCCAAGUUCAAAAUCCAUCAGCUUUUAUUUGAGAUGGGGAAAGUGCUGAAGACAGUGUUUGAACACACCCUGAUGUGGCUAAUGUAAUUUUUUUUCAGAGUGAUUAAAUUACUUUAGUUUGUGAUUUGAGUCAAAAUAAUUUGCACACUUCAUGGAUGUUGACAUUUUGAGUAAUUUGAAUCAAUAUUGUUUAAUUUUAUUUAUUCUUUGAUUUAAAAUGCGGAGAAAGUUCAUGUUUGAACAAAAUACUUGAGUGCACUUUCUCUGCAUUUUAAAUAAGUUCUAUGCAGUCCGCUCUUUUCACUGUUUGCAAUACUUUGUUACACUUAUAAUUGUACAUACAAAUAUUUAACAAAAUAAAGAGUUAAAAAAAAAUAUAUAGUUCAUAUAGAGUUCAGUAGGCCAGCCCUCAGCACCAUAUCCUGCCAUGGCACAUGAAAAACCUCAUUGCAGGUCAUUGCAGAAUCCAACAGCAGCCCGAGAGGCUCUCCCUGCAUUAGCCAAGGUGCCUCCCUCUGUGACGUGUCUUCUCCACUCCCUGGCUGUGCCUCGCCAUUGUUCAAAAGAGUCUUUGAAACUAGGUGGUAUAUACUUAGUUGCAGGUGUGUUGGCAGCAUCUGUAUAGGCCAGAUAGUUGUGCAGUACAGCACAGGCCUUCACAACAUGUACAUUUGUCUGGUAGGAAUUCCGACAGUCUGCCUAGAAUUGUCCACCUUGUGACCGUCAUACUAAAUUAGUUCUCAAUCACACGUCUGGCACGUGAAUGUUGAUUGGUGUAGGCCCUCUUGCUUUUGUUCAGGUUGGCACCUGGUAAAGCAGAAUAUACAUUGACAUUUUAAAAAACAAAAACCCCACUGACUAACUGCACUGUUGUACUGUACUUGUACUGUUCAUUUACAAAGUGUAAUCUAUUAUCAGUAAACAAGUACAGUACAAAGAAAUGCAGUUUGCGUCUAACCAGAAGUGCAAAUGGAGGGCAAACUAUUUACAA